rfam:Chlamydotis undulata macqueenii contig56176, whole genome shotgun sequence.
GUCUCUGUGGCGCAACUGGUCAGCGCGUUCGGCUGUUAACCGAAAGGUUGGUGGUUCGAGCCCACCCAGGGACG